UUACGGUCAAAUCACGCUGAAAACACCGGUUCUCGUUCGAUCACCGAAGUUAAGCAUCGUAGAGCCAGGUCAGUACUUAGAGGGGGACCGCUUGGGAACACCUGGUACUGUAAG
rnacentral:rRNA from 1 species